rnacentral:rRNA from 1 species
AUGCCUGUUUGAGUGUCAGUAUAAUUCUCAACUCCUCUUUGAUUUUAUUUGAGAGGGAGCUUGGAUCAUGGGGGCUGUCGGAGACUUUGGACCUUUGUGGUCCAGGACUUGGGCUCUCCUGAAAUGCAUUGGCUUGUGAUUGACUUUUUGACUUUGUGCGACAAG